GAGCCCAGACCACCAGAUAAGGUCCCCAAAUUAUGAUUAAGUGUGAAAGGAUGUGGAAAUUCCUUAACAGCCGGGAGGUUGGCUUAGAAGCAGCCAUCCACA
rnacentral:rRNA from 1 species